CCUACGGGAGGCAGCAGUGGGGAAUAUUGCACAAUGGGGGCAACCCUGAUGCAGCGACGCCGCGUGAGCGAGGAAGUAUUUCGGUGUGUAAAACUCUAUCAGCAGGGACGAAAAAAGACGGUACCGGACUAAGAAGCCCCGGCUAACUACGUGCCAGCAGCCGCGGUAAUACGUAGGGGGCAAGCGUUAUCCGGAUUUUCUGGGUGUAAAGGGAGCGUAGACGGCAAGGCAAGCCAGAAGUGAAAGGGUAGGGCUCAACCCUGUACAUGCUUUUGGAACUGUGGUGCUAGAGUGCAGGAGAGGUAAGUGGAAUUCCUAGUGUAGCGGUGAAAUGCGUAGAUAUUAGGAGGAACACCAGUGGCGAAGGCGGCUUACUGGACUGUAACUGACGUUGAGGCUCGAAAGCGUGGGGAGCAAACAGGAUUAGAUACCCGAGUAGUC
rnacentral:rRNA from 1 species